GGAUUUGAAUAAGCUGGCUGUGAUGCCAGCUAUCUCAAGGACUGCCAGGAUCAAUUUGGCUGCUCUGGUGGGCUGAGUGUCCUAAGCGUUUUAUCCAUUCUCAUGGCUUUGUGCAGGUGCAUUUUUCAAAAAGAAAAGGAGUUAUUCAGUCACGUGUAUAACAAUGGUCCUCUCCUUCUAGAGCCUCUAAACAAACCAUUACAGAUCAUUUGUAUGAGAAGAAAAGUUCAUCAGGCUUCUAAGAUGUGAAU
rnacentral:snRNA from 1 species